rnacentral:rRNA from 1 species
UACGGGGGGGGCAAGCGUUGUUCGGAAUUGCUGGGCGUAAAGGGCGCGUAGGCGGCCUACUAAGUCGGACGUGAAAUCCCUCGGCUCAACCGAGGAACUGCGUCCGAUACUGGCAGGCUGGAAUCCGGGAGAGGGAUGUGGAAUUCCAGGUGUAGCGGUGAAAUGCGUAGAUAUCUGGAGGAACACCGGUGGCGAAGGCGGCAUCCUGGACCGGUAUUGACGCUGAGGCGCGAAAGCUAGGGGAGCAAACGGG